rnacentral:tRNA from 1 species
GCCUGGCUGGCUCAGUCGGUUGAGUGUCCGACUUCAGCUCAGAUCUUGAUAUCCCGGUUUGUGAGUUUGAGCCUCUCAUCGGGCU